UACGUAGGGUGCAAGCGUUAAUCGGAAUUACUGGGCGUAAAGCGUGCGCAGGCUGUUAUGUAAGACAGUUGUGAAAUCCCCGGGCUCAACCUGGGAACUGCAUCUGUGACUGCAUAGCUAGAGUACGGUAGAGGGGGAUGGAAUUCCGCGUGUAGCAGUGAAAUGCGUAGAUAUGCGGAGGAACACCGAUGGCGAAGGCAAUCCCCUGGACCUGUACUGACGCUCAUGCACGAAAGCGUGGGGAGCAAACAGG
rnacentral:rRNA from 1 species